UCUAAACGACUCUCGGCAACGGAUAUCUCGGCUCUCGCAUCGAUGAAGAACGUAGCGAAAUGCGAUACUUGGUGUGAAUUGCAGAAUCUCGUGAACCAUCGAGUCUUUGAACGCAAGUUGCGCCCGAAGCCAUUANGUUGAGGGCACGCCUGCCUGGGCGUCAC
rnacentral:rRNA from 1 species